UUGAGGUCGAAAUAGGAACCGUGAGAAUGCUCUAACACUCACAGAAUUGUCGUACUGCCGUGAGUUAGCAGCGCAGAGCCUCCAAGGUUGGACCAGCAUUGUUUUAUAACACAGCAGGAUUUAUGGACACUAUGUAAUCUGGAAUAAUCUUAAGCCGUACUUGGAAAAUCAUUCAAGCUCUUCUGCCAUCUGCAUUCUAUCAUCGGCUACUGUGGAAUGAGAAGCCCGGCUAAUUUUUUUUGUAAUUCUUUUUUUUUUUUUUCAUUAUUAAAGCCGCUGAUACAACCGAAUAAGGUGAGCUACAGUUACAUCUAUUUCAUUCAUUUACUACUAUACCUAAAUGUACGUCCAGUUACAUAGAGGAUAAUUAUAUUCUGCAAUAUACCUUAUAUAAUAUUUCUGAUAAGGAUGCCCCUGUUAUAAAACUAUUUGAUCUUAGAAAGUUGAUAAUAUUCCGUUCCGGCGGCUAGAUUAAGUGACCUCGAUUUUUUUCUUUAACAUACGCAUGUACGUGCAUCUGAUUUAUUGAUUUACCUAUAUUAUGACGUUGUUUAGGCGCACGUUUCUGCUCUAUGUUAGAAUAAUAUAUAUUGAAUCCAGUUAGUAAUAAAGAGUAAGCUGAACACUCUUUACUGGAUUUUCGUUUUAUUUAGAAGCGUUUCAACACAAUGUAUCCAUACACACUGCAAUAUAUCCUUCAUUCGUAGAAGAUUAAAGUUCGCGGCGCUUGAAGUCUCUAUGUGCUCCAGUUUUUUGUGCGAGGAGAAAGCAGUAUAUCUUUGAUCUAGCGGGAAAGCCGAAAGAUAUGCGAUGUGGGGCCGACGAUCGUCGCCGUGGGGCUUCCUAGAGAGUUCAAUGACGAGUCUCGUAUGGCUGUAUCAGUUAUAUACGGACGACCGAAUAUACUUUUUUGUUGUUUUGUACAGAAAAUAAUUGCUUCAUUGACUAUUUCAUUCCCUAAACAAAUUCGGUCACAGUCUUGCUUCUCUAAUUUCAAGGGUAAAGAUAUAUACAGUGUUGCUCUUUCUAGUUAUUACUUUAUAAAGUUCAGUUUUCAACAAAGCAAAUGUUUACGGUAAAGACCUUACGGUUACGAUUGAAGCUGUGUGAAUUUAGCCGGCCAUAGCUCUACAAGCAGAAUUCGCCGGCAGGCUGGAUAAAUCAUGCACAAGUCUGGUUCUCAGUUGCAUGUAAGUUUAGGUGGACCGAGACGAUGAACUUCGCAACGCAAGGUUUAUGUAUUUAGGCUAAAAUAAAGCUCGAACUAUAAAGUCUGUCGGUCCAGACCGGUAUUCUUCGAGCUGGCAUUUAAUUAUUCCAAAAUGGCGCACGAUUAACUUCAAGCUAAAAUUGCAUCCCGUAAGCUAUAAUUUUAGCGCUGAAGCGUAACUGUAAACUUAAUGUGCAAAGUUACAAUUCAUAAAAAAAGAGAAACAAAAAAUAUAUAAUAGAAAAAAAUCAACGUAAGACGUAAGUAACGUUUACAGGAGCGCGCGUCAGAGGUCUACGCAGAGUGCCUUUCUUUGUAGUCUUCGGUCUGGGUUCGGACCUAGGCAAGCUGCGGCUUACCUAAAAUUUACCAGAUUUAUAUAUAUUUAUACAGUUUUCAUUGCUAAUAUACCCCAAGAGGAAAACCUGUAGCGCAUACUAUGUAAACAUAAAUUGGUUUACCGAGACAAUAGAUAUUAAAAGUGGGUAAAAUAAUUGCACGGCAAGCAAUAAUAAAACGCCGGAGAGUCUCCAGAGCGAUAGCUCCAAUGUGCAAGGUAAAACGAAUACCACUAAAUGAAAAAAACAACAUAUUAUCAUACGGUUAUUAUUGUUCUAGAACCCCCUCUCGAAUCGUAAAUCUUUCUAGCGAAGUGUUAGACAACGGUCUUGCUAUGAGUUGACGAGGGUGCAAUGAUCAACAUUUACUACAUGUGUUCACUCAUUCCAACAAUCUAACACAAGCAGUCCUGCUCAUCGUUUGUACAUAUGUACUCCGCCUAUUUAUAUCUUUUUCUAUAAAUACACAAUAUUAUUUUGUAUUUUGUGAUGCUGAAGAUGUGUAUUUUUUUUCGAAUUUAUAAUAUGGCCAUUAGACAGUAUUAUGUAGGGGGAAUUCCGGGACCGACAGAUACAUGUCGUUAGGAGACACUCUCGAACUAGAAAACAAAUCGUUCGUUUUAGAACAUAUAUCGUCUCAGUAAUCAGCAAUGGCAAUAUUCCAGAUAUUAAGAUCAGACUGCCUAGAAAUUUCUCAGCGUCUAAUUCCAGGAAUCCGUGUGAGUCCAUUUUGUUGAUCUCGAAUUGUGUUAACAUGGCACAGCGGCACCAACGUUCGUAGCAGCCUGCCAACAAUGGUCAUGGUGGUCGCUUUUGUACAAGCGGCAAUCGCUCGUAACGAUAGCGAUUCAAUAUAAAUCUUUUAAACGUACGUCCGGUGUUGUCACUGAGCGUUGCUUCAUAGUUACUACUUUUAACAUGAUUCGCCGCUAUUUAGCAAUUAUGUUGCAGGCGUCUGCGGCGGAAUAAAUCGCUAUUCGUUAGCUACUUAAUAGAUUCUGUAGCUCUGUAUAUUGUACGUACUCGCUAGCUGUGUCUAAUGGUGCCGGACGGUUAAGCAUUUAAGUAGCUGGGAGACGACCGCAACGGCUGUUUUCGAUGGCGGCGGCAAAACAUUCCGUUGCUUCGAACACUACUGUGACCGCCUCAAAGUACUCGCCAGCGACAGAAGACGACGAAAAGAAGGUCUUGUACAGGUGCUAUGCGUCUCCACCACAAAAGGUGAUCGCAGACACAAGCUGCCAGCUCAAAACAAGAGGCAAUGGCUAUGAGCACGUGUUGGCGCUUAAGCAAGCGGUGUAGGCGUCCUCUCCUUUUUCGUAUCAGUGGAACAUAUGCAAUAGAGCCAUGAACGCUCACGUAGGCGACUAGCUACAGCGUCAGUCCGGAGACGGUACGGGUCGUGUACGCAGUCGAACGGAAAGAUGUCCAGAGAGACCCACAGGCUCAGUAGCUUGCAUAGUUACGUGAGUUCAGAGAUGUUGUCCACGUCAACAAGUCAGCAACGCUUAUUUAGGUCGGCAGCGGAAAUACGGUAUCUGCUCUGUCAAAUCAGGAAUACGGAGAUCGUUGCCUAGGCACGGAGAGUCGCAAAGGACGUGGCGGGGUUGCAGGGCCCUAGAAGAUGAUGAUAUGGGCGGCUAGAUGCCGUCAAUGCUGAACAGACGUUGUUUUCCGGUUGGGGCAGCAGAAGGGGCAGCUACAGCAGCAGCAGCAGCAGCAGCAGCAGCGGCGGCUCUAGACGCAACCACACGCCAACGGCAAGAGUUGAUAUGAGAGUGAUAUGUCGUUGAUCACGACGGCAGCGGCAUUUGGAUAAAAUUAAUGCUGCUCGUUAUAGACAACGAAAUAAACGAUGUCAUGGGUCGAGCGCGACGUCAGGAUAAAAAUGGUCAUUGUCACAAACAACGCAAUGACCUACAUUUAGCGGACGUCUGUAGUGGUUUCGGCGGUCUGAACUGGUGUGCGAGGGGUCUCGAGUUAAAGGUCUCCAUUAUUACUGUUAUAAUAUCCAUUUAUAGACGUUUUGGUAGCGGUCGUCCAUUCCCAAGCGAAGCCAGAAGAUCUAGUGGUUUUGUAGAUACCAUGGUGCCACACCCCAAUAGUUCAGGUCUGUCAGUGGCUCUGAUAGACGCUUUCCAACACGACCCUUCCUGCUAACUCAGAAUUUCACUUCAAGGUAUUUUAUAGUCACAGUAAUAACAUACACACAAACGAAUCAGGGAUUCUGUAUUCAAGUUAUUCUGUUGUCUUUAUAAAACAUGAUAGUUUCGGUAUAGUCUGUGUGCUUUUUCCUUUUGUUGUGCAUUAAAGAAGACACCUGAUAGAAUAUCAGAAGUAAGUACUACUUACGCUUGCCUAAUUACAUGAUAGCUAGUGCAAUAGCUGCUACGCCUAACGCAUAUAUUAUUCCUAGCUGUAGAAUAUCUUCAAUCAAACUUAUGAUAAAAACGCCUAUGAGCAUAAUCUGUACAUUAUAUAUACAUUUUAGCUAUAGGUAUUACGUAAUUUCACAAUGCCCCACACGAUACGCGGACUAAUAUGUAUAUCUAACUCAAGUGCCCUCUGCCAACGAGCCAUUUUUCUACAUUGGAUCAUAUAUAUGUGUAUAUAUAUUUAGACUGGCUGUUGUAUUUGACUACAAGCAUAUUCACUGGCCCCGUUCAAUUCCAAAGAUGCCUUAUCAUCAUUACCGGCAAUCUUCUCUCGUUGCUGUUAUCCGUCUCUUAUAGAAAACCCGCCUCAUUCAGCCUAGCGGUUUCGGUAAGCGUGUACUGGCGCCGGCCGAUCGCUGAUUCGCAACUCGCAUCCAUUGUGUUAAUCAUACCACUGUCCCUAGUGUCGUUGUUACCAUUGUUGAUUUUUUUGCCUCGCUGCUGGGGCAAUGCAAGCUUGCUGCUGCUGCCCCCAUGUGGCUACUGCAACUGCAUGCGUUUUACGUACGACUUUCUCCCGAUCACGCUUAUGUGCGUCUGAAGUGUUUGUUUUGAAGCGGUAGACAGGAUAUUAAAAGAAGCGGGCGCGACCGUUACAGCAGCGCCAGUCGUGACAACACGAUCUUAGCGUUAUCGGUACGGGGAGCUUAAAGGGAGUAUUGGCCGAACGUCCUAACCAUCUUCGCAGUGAUCAACGGCAAUAGGGGCAGUCGCAGUGCUAAUUAUAGUUAGCGGCCAGUUGGUAUACCGAAUAUCUACUAGGUAGUUCGUCAUCCCCCUAGCAACAGUCACAGCGGCCGAAGUUGAACCGCGUGUUCGGCCCGAUUAUGAAUCCGCGUACUGACUGUAAUUUCUGCCCGAUGACAAUUUCGUUUAACGUAUGCCUAUUCAUGUUCGUUCGGACCUGUUGCACGCUACAAGCAAAUAGGCAAACGGAUCCUCUGGCAGAUAAUCGGUUUGUUUGGUCAGGCGCUGCUAAAGGGCCUUGUUACUGUAAGCAAGGAGCAGCUACUAUUUUCUACCUUCCACUUGAUACACUAAAUAUAUUAGACGACUACACGUGGCUUAUAUAUGGUGCAUGAGACAUAAGAACUGCUAUGUACGCAAUGCUAUGUCCUCUACGGCUGGUGUUAUUACUAUUGCAGCGUUGUGCACGGUGGAAUACAUACCAAGUGCAUUGGUAGACAAUAGUAGGAUCGAUAUCGCUACUGGGCAGGUAGUUCCACUGCCAUUGGUUUCGGAGCUAAAAGAAAGAAGUCCAUGUCGGCUUCUGUUGAGGGAUCGGUGCUAGCCGUAACAGGGUGAUGAAUGCAAUGUUAACUAGCCCCCGCUGACGGUCUCCAGACGACCAUUAGGAAUAGGGCUGGCAGCCGCAGAACUGACGUUGAGAGAAAAGUCGACCCAGUUUCUUGCGACGCGAUACGAUGCUAGAAGUGACGGUGACAGUUGAAAUGGGCAGUGGCGGAUGAUAAUGCUAACGACAGCGACGACAGUCUUUGUACACGCAUACAUAGCAUGCAGUACGCGGCAUCCCGUAGGAGUCGCAAUUGCCGGAGACAGCAAAUCAUCUAAGCAAAGCUAGAGUUCUAUCAGCACCUUCUAAAAUUGGUUCUAAAAUUAAAUCUCAUAACCUAACCUUGUGAAAACUCAUACGACGCUUAGUGAAUAAUCGGGCCAGUUGUAGGCCGCACUAUACGAGCCUUCAAUAAACUAUCUUACAGACUACCGAAACGGGGAGGCUUGGUCAACAGGCAAAUGGCGCCGAUCAAUACGUUUAAAUAAAAUCCCAGCUACUGUCUCUUGGCUAAGCAAAGUAUUAGGCAAAAAAAAAAAAGUAGAGAAGAGUAGAAUAAGAAACCUGUAACAAAUUCUUUAAACUUGCUAGAAAUGUGCUUCGUCUAAAAUACAUCGUUUAUAAGACGAAUUACACACACACAGUACUUACAACAUUUACGACUACCAAAGUUUCGUUUGUCAAAAGCUACCGCGGCGAACGGGAUCGUUCAUUCAGUAUAGGGCGUAACUAAAAGAACAGAGGAGGCACUUGUAACUGAAAUCUAAGGUCCCGAAUCUUGUUGUGACAACGAUUUAUGAAAAGGUGCGAACAGUCACACAGUUCGUCACAAUAGAUAAGGCUCGCCUAGUACAUCUUCGAAGCGUACAACGAAUUUCCAUACCCCCUAUUUCUCACUCUGUGAAACUCAUUGUUUCGUUGAAAUAAGCUUUGAAUAUAUACUGGAACUAAUCAAAACCCUCAUAUUUCAUGACGCUGUUUAUAUUUGUUACUAUCUUAUUGAUUUCUGCUUUUGUUUCAUGUAAUUUUGUGAUCGACUAAAGAAAGUACUGAACUUUUAAGAGAUAUAUUAGUGAUUCAGUAUUCUACCCCCGUCCCCAACAGCUUAUACCUAAUGAAGACUCUAUUCGAGGUUCGCGGCCUGUGAACAAUACAGCUUAUAGAAAAAAAAAACAUUUUUAUAGGAGGCGAAACGCCUGAAAAUCAGUGGUCAUCCGAUCCGUUUAUACCAUAUUGAGACGUUCAGCCUUCUUUAUAAUUUGGUCGCAUCGCACUGAAAGCGCUGUCACCUCGGGCAAUAUGUGCAUGAAUGGUCUAUUUUGAUGAAUUCAAAUCAUCGCUAUCAUUCAACCAAAUGGCCAUGUUCAACGCCCAGAUUAACCUUUUUGCCUAUUUUAAACCCGCCGAAAUGGUGGGUUCGUGUGUACAUAGGCAUUUUAUCGAUUUAAAUGCACAGAUAUGGGCAAUAAUUGGAAAUGGAUAUCGAGUUAUUUCAUCACUGUAGCAGCAGUAUUAGUAUUUGUCUAUGGAAAAUGGCGACAGAAAGAGCCACCUCUACUAUGUUUAUGGCGUUUAUGCUGUGUCCUGUUAUAUCCGUAUGCAGACGCCAGAAAGCAUUGCCAAGGUCAUUCCACGUGCGUUUAACCUCUCUGUGCGCAUCGUACUGUUCUGAGUAUUCCCAAUUACAGAUUACGCCGUGAAAAGUUCAGGCCAAUGUGGCCUACAGGACUAUAAGCAUCCCGGUCAAAAGAGAUGCAGGCUGCGUUCGAAUGCCGUGCAUACGUUUGGCCGUUCUCGUGGACUUAGAUUCACCAGGUCCCGAUGACUGCGAUGCCACAGGCGGCGAUCUUUGCAGUAGUAUAGCGUGCGCGGCACGUGCAAUUUUCAGUCAGCAUCACGCAUUCGCAGACAGGCAAAAGGGCCGCCCAACGUCGCCGCCACGCGGAUGCCGGCUCCGAUUUCGGAUCGCAAACAUAUCUGCAAUAGCUAACAGAGUAACCCCGUUUUUCACUUCGGUGCCAUUACACGUUAGCUAUUACAAUACAUUACAGCGAAGCCAGCAUUUGCGGCGGAUCUUGAUAGUGUUAAUAGUUUUUUUUUUUAUAUAUAUACACGAUCCGUCAGUUGUUGUUUUCGAUGUUUGCGGAUGCGCAACGGGUCAAGGGACCAAGAACCGCGAUUGGCCGAUGUAAGCGUCGACAGGGGUCGCGAGGGCCGGCAUCCUUGGAAUGCGGAAUCGAACAUAUACGCUCGCACACGCAGAUAGUGAACGACAAACGGGGCGGUGCGAAGACGCUGCAAGCUACGCGCGAUCUGCUAGGCACACCGGCACGCUGUAAGCAUACAUCGACCGUGAGAAGCUACCGUGGGACACCGUCACAAGAUAGACUUUUGGCCAAGCAAGGAGGCAAGCCAGACCGCCAACCGGACGCUGCAGGAGAACCGCAGCCAAGGGACCGACACGGUUACAACAACAGCGCUACAUAUAGGCAGACCAGCAGGUACGGAUAUCGAGCGCAAACUUGGAAACGUAAGAGUCGACUAGAUUAGCUGGCAUAGCAGACGAAGCGUUGUAUUGAUUAUGAUUUUGAAAAUGCCGCCAUGAUUGAGGAAAAUCCGCAAAAAUGUUGCGAGCAUUUUUCGAAAAUUGACAAUUUACAUCUAUAAUUAAUUUUAAUCUUUAAUCAAAUGUAUAUCCUGCGUAUUUUCGAACUAAGUUAAACAGUUUCAAGUUUAUAGAGCUAGUCGCCUCGACAGACGCGUCGCAAUCAUAGAAUAAGAAUAAAUACGCGAUCAGAGCGAUA